rnacentral:tRNA from 1 species
GUUCUUUUAGUAUAACAAGUACAAUUGACUUCCAAUCAAUAAGAUUUGGUAAACAUCCAAAAAAGAACA